AUGAGACCUGAGGCCAAAAAUAAGUAUAUGAAAAAUCACUAGAUGACAAUCGAAGUCCCUCUUUCUUUAUUAAAAAAGGCUUUUCGCCCUCAACUUUGUGCCUUGAGGCUGGCUUUGAGGAAGAAAAGCUGCUGUCAACUCCAAAACCUCUGGGUCGGAUCCUGCCCCACGUGGUCCUCACUUCAGGUCCCACAUUUAUCUUCCUUUGUUUGAUUUCCCUCAAAUCUCUUGCCCCUUCUAGGUCAGGUUCGUAUUCAAACCUUCUUUCCAAAUCAGUCCUUGUUCAUUUCAUUCGUGGUGCUCUUGGCACAAUGCUGGUGGAAGUAGAGUGGCUAUUGCUCCUGACCAUUCAAAGUAGUCAUUCUUGGAAAACAAUGCAUGGCAUGCUCUGCGUUCAUGUCCUCAUAUUUGUGAUGCUCGCUUUCUUUUAUUGCUUGGCAGCUUUUCCCAAUCUUCCGGAUAGUAACCGCGCCAUUCAUAGCCAUCGGGGAAACAGCCCUCUUCCCUCGGUCCGUCUUGCUUCUGCUUGA